GAUGAAGAACGUAGCGAAAUGCGAUAAGUAAUGUGAAUUGCAGAAUUCAGUGAAUCAUCGAAUCUUUGAACGCACAUUGCGCCCGCCAGUAUUCUGGCGGGCAUGCCUGUUCGAGCGUCAUUUCAACCAUCAAGCCCCAGGCUUGUGUUGGAGCCCUGCGGCUGCCGCAGCCUCCCAAAACCAGUGGCGGGCUCGCUAUCACACCGAGUGCAGUAGUUUACUCUUCGCUCAGGGCGUGUGGCGGGUGCUAGCCGUAAAACCCCCAACUUCUCAAGGUUGACCUCGGAUCAGGUAGGAAUACCCGCUGAACUUAAGCAUAUCAAUAAGCGGAGG
rnacentral:misc_RNA from 1 species